CCUGAGAUCAUGACCUGAACCAAAGGCAGAGACUUAACCCACUGAGCCACCCAGACGUCCCGUGGUGCAGGUUUUAAAGAGCUCUGCGCGUGGAUGGUCGAGAUGGAUGGACAGCAAAGUGAAGGCAUUCCCUUGCUCUGCUAACACUGGGAGCUGGCGUGAUUUCUUCCACGUCCGUCAGGAACAGAAGCGACACAGCCAUGAAGGACGGAUGCGAAUGACCAGUAACCGAAAAGAAGACACAGAGACAUCCAAGUCUGUGCUGGCGGGCAGUUCCCAGACCCUGGCUUUGUUUCCCCUUGUGAGUGCCUACGGACUCGGACUCGGCAUUCUGUGUGUGGUGACAAUCCACCACCUAUUGUCACCAACCAUCAGAUCUUUAGAAAAGAACAUGCAUGUGUGUGUGUGUGUGUGCAUUCCUCCACAGGGUCAGCUGUGGUUAAAAGCAUAAUGUGCCUUUUAUAUGGCUCUUUCUCUGCAUGGGGUGGCCACCCCAGGGGGUUUCAGAACAACAGAGCUCCUCUGAGUUAAGAUUUAAGGAACCAGGUAUAAGGAAGAUUUGCUUUCCACGGCUAUGGCUGCAAAUUAGCACACGCUUAAAGCUUCAAGCAUGUGUAUUUAGUAUCUUCCACUCCUGGGGGGUAGGAAUCUGCUGGGGCUAAGAUCCAGGUGUGGGCAAGGCUUGUUCUUCCUGGAGGCUCCAGGGGACAAUCCAUCCCCUGCCUUUCUUAGCCUCCAGAGACCACCCACCUUCCUCGGCUGGUGGCCCCUUUCUCCACCUACAAGGCCAGCAAUGGGUGGUCCAGUUUUUCACAGAUGACAUCACCCUGACCUUCCUCCUCCCCCCCUCCUCCGCUUAGAAGGACCCUUGGGAUCACAUCCAUCCUUCCUGCAUCAUCAGGGAUCACCUCCAUCUUAAGAUCAACUCAUUGCCAACCCUCAUUCCCUUGCAAACUUAAUUCCCUUUGGCCGCAUAAGGUAACAUAUUCACGGGUCCU